rnacentral:rRNA from 1 species
CCUACGGGAGGCAGCAGUGGGGAAUAUUGGACAAUGGGGGGAACCCUGAUCCAGCCAUGCCGCGUGUGUGAAGAAGGCCCUCGGGUUGUAAAGCACUUUCAGUGAGGAAGAACGCCUGGUGGUUAAUACCCAUCAGGAAAGACAUCACUCACAGAAGAAGCACCGGCUAACUCCGUGCCAGCAGCCGCGGUAAUACGGAGGGUGCGAGCGUUAAUCGGAAUUACUGGGCGUAAAGCGCGCGUAGGUGGCUUGAUAAGCCGGUUGUGAAAGCCCCGGGCUCAACCUGGGAACGGCAUCCGGAACUGUCAAGCUAGAGUGCAGGAGAGGAAGGUAGAAUUCCCGGUGUAGCGGUGAAAUGCGUAGAGAUCGGGAGGAAUACCAGUGGCGAAGGCGGCCUUCUGGACUGAAACUGACACUGAGGUGCGAAAGCGUGGGUAGCAAACAGGAUUAGAUACCCUGGUAGUC